AUACACGACGUCGUCUUACAUAUAAAGGCUUCAGCCGUCAUAUUUUUCAAAUUUGAAAAUCCCCUCUCUGGCACUGGCAGUCUCCACUGUGCAAUGACGCCACCGCUUUACCGCUAACGCCUCCACUUCAAACUCAAAGUCGCGUCAUGUCUUCUCGCGCAGGUGAUUUGUGGGCGGAGCUCAUAGCCUCCGAGCAAAAAAGGAACGAACAGCGUCCUGUAAAGCCUCAAGAGCCCGAAAUUGCCGUCAUUUAUCGGAGGAGAAAGCCUCAAACUAACACUCAGCAAAAUGUAGCAAGAAGGGAUUCGAGUACAAGCUCGGAGGUCGAGAAUCGUCUGAGUCUUGCCCCUCCCAAUCGUAUAAGUUGGAACCGUUCCCUUUCCACCAGAGGGAGGACUAGUAUUGCUGUCACUGCAUGUGUGAAACCUCAACGGAGGAAGCCAGGAAGAAAAGCAAAACCACCUCUUCCAAGGGGGAAAGCAGUAGAGCUUCCCAACUUUGACAAGGAGAAGGCCUACUUUGAAGAGGUUGAUGCGUUUGACUUAAUGGAGGAAAGCCCCUCUCCUAAGAAAUCUGGUACAUGGACCAUGGCCAUCCAAACAGAUCAUGUUGCAAUACCACGCCUAACAUCAAUUUUACAGAAAUGGUUGCUUUCUAAGAAAUUAAAUAAUAGCUAUGCACCACCUAUUUCACUUUCCAAGAUACUAGAAACUCCAGCAUCACGGAGGGAAUCUGCUCCUUAUGAAUUGUCUAGAUACUCAAUCCUUAAAGCGUCAGAAAAUGCAUCCAUACAACUGCAGUUAGGCUUGUGUUUUAAUGAAAAGAGAUGCCUUGAUUUCACUAAUGAAGAUAUCUCCAAAAGGAAGGCAUCUUCAGAAAGAAGCAUUGCAGAAGUUCAUACUGUUGUAGAGGAUGAUGGUGGAGAUAUUGAAGUUCAAGUUGGAAAACUUUCUCUGACCUCAAGGCCUUCUUCAUUGGAUGCUCACAGUUGGGAUCCGUUUUUGGCACUGUUAGCAGCAUGUGGGCAGUCACAUCCUUUCACACUACUAGAUGUCAUAUCAAAUUCUUGUAACCCUACAGAUAUUGUCAAGAUUGGUGAAGGGACAUACGGGGAAGCUUUCAAGGUUGGAGAAAAUGUAUGUAAGAUUGUUCCAUUUGAUGGAGAUUUACGAGUGAAUGGAGAAAUACAGAAGAAAGCAGAAGAACUACUUGAGGAAGUCGUACUGUCUGGCACCCUUAAUAGUCUAAGAGGAUGUGAAAAUGACAUGUUGAAUUGCUGCACUUCAUUCAUACAAACAAUAGACAUGAGAGUAUGCCAAGGUCCUUAUGAUGCUUCUCUGAUAAGAGCAUGGGAAGACUGGGAAGUGAAUCAGGGUACAUUAAACGACAACCCUAGGGAGUUUCCAGAAAAGCAGUGCUACAUUAUUUUUGUUCAAGAACAUGGGGGCAAGGAUCUUGAGAGCUUUGUUCUUUUGAACUAUGAUGAAGCGCGGAGUCUGUUAGUUCAGGCAACUCUUGCUUUGGCAGUAGCUGAAGCAGCAUAUGAAUUUGAGCAUCGGGAUUUACACUGGGGAAACAUCCUUUUGACACGAAAAGCUUCUCCUACUGUGCAAUUCAUUCUUGAGGGAAGACAAAUACAUGUGAAAACAUUUGGAUUGCUUAUCUCAAUAAUUGACUUCACUCUCUCAAGGAUGAAUACAGGUGAAGAUGUACUUUACCUGGACCUGUCAUCAGACCCUGAACUCUUUGAAGGCCCAAAAGGAGACAAACAGUCAGAAACUUACAGAAAAAUGAGGGAAGUCACUGGAGAAUUCUGGGAAGAAAGGUUGUGCAAUAAUUCACUAUGCUUUGUGUACCUCUUCCUAGUGUGGUGUUUAGCAACCAGCUCAAAGGGUUUUUUGGUAUAAUAUUGGUAACACUCAAGUUUCUAAAUCCCUUUGGGAUACUUCAAAAAUCACUCCAGGAUAAGAAGUGUGAUACUCCCGGGGAGCAUAAGAUUUGGAAACCAAUGGUGCUAUUCAACGGGGUCAAUAGACCUGUUGAACAGACCUGCAAUACUGGCUGGAAAAUGAAGAACAGUACUACUCAAUAGGUCUAUUGAACCCGUUAAGCUAGCCCUUGUCUUCAACCAGUCGCUUGGCAGAAUGGUGUCAAUUUCAACAGUUUCCCCAAGACUAAUGUGUUAUGGCUGCAAUACUUGGUUGACAUAUUGCUGCUGAAGAAAGCAUAUGCACGAACCACUAAAGACGAGAGGGAAUUGCGCUCUUUGAAGAAGCGUUUGAAUAGUUACGGUUCCGCAAAAGA